rnacentral:lncRNA from 1 species
GACUACACUUCCAUGACCCCUCACUGGCCAGCAAGGAAUGCUUUUCCAGUCAGAAGGCAAUCAGGGAGAGUUCAACCUUGACAGUACCCUACAGCUAAAUCUCCUGGUUUUUAAACUAUAAAGGAAAGUCAUCACAUUGAGACAACUGCCAUUUACUAGAGGAAGAGGUUUUUGUCACAUGCUUGCCUCCAACAAGGAGCUACCCUUUAUAAAAGCAAUGAAGAUGGUUUUGUGCAGUGUAUUCUGUUGGGUGUUUACACCUUGUGUGAACUCAACCAUUAACGAAUGCUAGAUUUUGUCUUUCAGCUUUAGGCAGUUGCUGUAUCUCAAGGUGUACACAAAAAGGGGAAAAAAGGCAAACACUGAAUAAGAGUUGAUCGUGAAUGGAAGGAGAUAGGCAAUAGAAAGUGACAGAAGGCAUUUCAGCCAUGUUUGAACUGAUGGCAGUGCUUUUUGUCAGUAGCUGAAGUGUCUGGAGCAUUCAAUGCCAUGGACAAUGCAGAUCCGAUGCCGCACUCAGGCUGCAGUUUGAACCCUCUGAAGCAAAAAAGAGCUCAGCUCCUUGCUCACCAGGCUGUAACAAAGAAAGGGAUACAGCAGAAAAGGCUGGAAAAUCAGUGAGAAGUUGUGUGCUUUGGUGAUACCUAGAGAGGCUGGCAGAAACCUAGAAGAUGACUAUGGGGUCCUUGAGGAGACAACUGUAGAUAUCCUGAAAUCAAAGAAGCUGAGAAACUCAGAAACUGGUAAGUGAGUCUGAUCCCACAGAGGGAAAGUUGUUAUUGAGUUACUGCCCUGCCAAAAGAAACAAACAAGAAUGGGGUGCAAAAACAUAGAGAAAGAGCUUGGGAGGAAGUAGCAGAAAUGCUCAAGACCUGAAAAAGUUGAUUUGUGUGGGUGAAUUAGGAAUUCAACAGGCAACUUCCAGUUACAGAUUACUCACAUAUGUUGAAUAGUAAAUGUGCCUGGAGAAAAUGGGCAUCCAGAAGCACAG